AACUAGUCCUAGCCUAACUUCUCACCUACCCACUAAUAUAUAAACCAAAAACAAACCAUUUACCACAAAUAACAGUAUAGGAGAUAGAAAUUUCACAUAGCGCUAUAGAAAAAGUACCGUAAGGGAAAGAUGAAAGAAUUAGUCAAAGUACAAAAAAGCAAAGACUACCCCUUGUACCUUUUGCAUAAUGACUUAACUAGAAUAAACUGACAAAAAGAAAUUUUAGCCAAAGAACCCGAAACCAGACGAGCUACUCAAGAAUCAGUAAAUAUAAGAACACACUCAUCUAUGUGGCAAAAUAGUGAGAAGAAUCAUGAGUAGAGGUGAAAAGCCUAUCGAGCCUGGUGAUAGCUGGUUACCCGGAAGCAGAAUUUUAGUUCAACUUUAAAUUAACCCAAAGCAUACUUUUUAAGCCCACUGUUAAUUUAAAUGUUAUUCUAAAGAGGAACAGCUCUUUAGAUUGGGCUACAACCUUUAGCAGAGAGUAAACAAAUUAAUUCCCAUAGUUGGCCUAAAAGCAGCCCCCUAUUAAGAAAGCGUUCAAGCUCAACACUCAGUAAACACUAAUGUCCAAACUUACAACUGACCCCCUGCUGAUCAACUGGGUUAAUCUAUUAUUAAAUAGAAGCAAUACUGUUAAUAUGAGUAACAAGAAUUCAAAUUCUCCUAGCACAAGCUUAUACCAGACCGGAUACCUACUGGUAAUUAACAAUAAGAUAAGAUUAACUUUAACCCACAAAAACAUAUAUCCUAAUAUCUGUUAACCCAACACAGGCGUGCAUUAAGGAAAGAUUAAAAGAAAUAAAAGGAACUCGGCAAAACCAACCCCGCCUGUUUACCAAAAACAUCACCUCUAGCAUAAUCAGUAUUAGAGGCACUGCCUGCCCAGUGACACGUUUAACGGCCGCGGUAUUCUGACCGUGCAAAGGUAGCAUAAUCACUUGUUCCUUAAUUAGGGACUGGAAUGAAUGGCUCCACGAGGGUUUAACUGUCUUUUAUUUCCAAUCAGUGAAAUUGACCUCUCCGUGAAGAGGCGGAAAUGUAAAAACAAGACGAGAAGACCCUAUGGAGCUUAAAUUAACUAGCCCAAACAUCAUAUAAAUAUUGUAAGGAUAAGUCCACACUACUCAUCAUGGAUCCUGGGCUAAAAAUUUCGGUUGGGGCGACCUCGGAGCACAAAAAACCCUCCGAACAACUAACCUAGACUUAACUAGUCAAAGUACAAACACUAUAAACUGACCCAAGCUAACUUGAUCAACGGAACAAGUUACCCUAGGGAUAACAGCGCAAUCCUAUUAUAGAGUCCAUAUCGACAAUAGGGUUUACGACCUCGAUGUUGGAUCAGGACAUCCCAAUGGUGUAACCGCUAUUAAUGGUCCGUUUGUUCAACGGUUAAAGUCCUACGUGAUCUGAGUUCAGACCGGAGUAAUCCAGGUCGGUUUCUAUCUGUUAAAAAUUUCUCCCAGUACGAAAGGACAAGAGAAAUGGAGCCAACUCAAUAGAGCGCUCUCAACAUAACUGAUGACUAUAAUCUCAAUCAAUAUGUAACUCCAGACAUUACCCUAGAUAGGGGUUU
rnacentral:rRNA from 1 species